CAUAGGUCUGAUACAAUUGAAGGAUCCAAUUGUAACUAUAUUCUUUUCUUUUUAACCACAUUACACCUUCACUUAGAAGUCCAGCAAAACAUUCNAGCAAGUUGAUCUAUUAUGCUUGCUGCAAAUCAACGUUGUCUUGCAUAUCUCUAGAUAUCAUGACCAGGUUUCCUCUUCCAACUGAAGGUUAAAACAACAAUUCAUGCUGUUAAUUUCUUUUUAUGAGUUCCUUUUAUGAGUUCCUGCUAAGUGUUGAUUGUUACACAAACCUCAACCAGGAAACAGAUUCAAUGCUGUUUUAUUAACAGUUCAAUGUCAGCUCCAACUUCAGCAAUCUUGGCAUCUCUAGAAGUCUUAGCUAUUCUGGCAAUGUUCUCAACAUCAAAGUCCAAAGCUAUUUGCUUCACCAGACCAUCAAGCAUCAGUGAUCCAAUGGCAACUAAAACCCGGAAUUUUGAAUCAACUUCUACAUUUUCCUCUUCUGCAAUCUCAAGAGCAGCUGAAAGAACUUGUGAUUGACCUUCUUGACCCUUUUUUUCUAUUAACAGAACAGCAUAAUUGAGUAUCAAGGUAGAAUAAGACAAAUGCAAAUUCUUGUUUGAUGAUGAAUAACAACUUGAAAAUGCAUCAAGAAUCUCACUGCGAUGCCUUAGUAGCCAGUUGUGAUAGCAUGAAUUCUUGAAUAGGUUAGUUACCACACGAAUGCUGGUUAAAAGGUUCGGAGGCAGCGGAGAAUUUGUUGUAACUCUCUUAAUCACUUCCAUUAGUAUAUCACUUCCAUCCUCAACAUGCUUGAGAAGUGCACUCGCCCCAUCUGGGUGUAAGACAAUCAUCCUCAGGAUAUCUAUAACCGGAAAUAGCAUUGCUACCGGCCAAGAUUUCAUUAAUUUCAACAGCAAAGCAAUUUCAACAUCUGCAAAUUUACUAGUAUGAUAAUGGGAAGUGUCCUUUAAAAUUUUAACAAUUGCACCAAGUCUGGAUAUGUCAAGCUCUGACAAAGACAAGUUCUUUUUGUCUGGUUCAGAUAGAAGAGCAUCAUUGAACUCAUUUAUCUUUUUCAGGAUCCCAUCAAAUUGAGCCCCAUCAAAAACUAGCAUUCCUUUCUUGGGGAUAUGCUUGAAAGUAGGCUUUGCUGAUACAGCAGACAAGUUAGAAGGUUGCCCAGGUACAUAAGCACUUGCACCAGUGUAUGGGUCACGGAAUGAUGAAUCAAGAGCAAUGCUUCUUUGUCCAGAAUUUUGGAGUAUGAAAUCUACAAUUUGUUGACGAUAGGAAAGAGGAAGAUUCUCUUUGAUGAGCCACUUAUCAGCAACAGAGUAUGGAUUAUCUGAUCGAUUAUAUGGCAACUUUCGAAUGGGUUCACCAUCUCCGAUAUCAACAUCAAAUACAUAAUCAUAUUCAAUUCCAUCAAGAACAGGUCGCUUCAUGCCAUCAUCCGGUCCAUCAACAACUUCGCCAAUUUUAUCCCACAUCUGCUCUCUCAAAUUCCAAGCAUAUGCUACACCAUUGUCCCCUUCUCUGACAAUUUUUGUCUGGCCAUCAGUAGUUCCUGGAAUCUGUAAAGCAUCUAGCCCUGGCAAAUCUUCCAAUUUCAGUCCUCCAACCCUCUUCCUGCUUAACUUGUAUUGAGAAAGUUGGGAAACAUAUGACUCAAGAUCUAGUGGAUCUGCAAUCCUAUCCUGAUGCGAUGUCCAGAUACGUACAACUCCAUCUGAACAUGCUGUCACAAUGUCACCAUUUUCUAAGAAUUUGGCAUCCCAAACACAACCAGGAUGCUCUAUGCUCUGAACACAAACUCCAUCUUUCCAGAUCUUAGCCGAACAAUCUUCACUACCACUGACAAUAAGUCCAGACACAUGUGAAUCAACUGAAUAGACAAUGGAAGUAUGACCAACCAUCUCCAUCAAUACUUGGCCAGUUAAUGCCCAUAACCUUAUUGAACCAUCAUGUGAUGCAGAAAGAAUACCCAAUCCAUGCAUCUCUGCCAAGCCUCUAACUGUAUCUGUAUGGCCCA
rnacentral:misc_RNA from 1 species